rnacentral:rRNA from 1 species
UACGUAGGGGGCAAGCGUUGUCCGGAAUUAUUGGGCGUAAAGCGCGCGCAGGCGGCAUCGUAAGCCCAGUGUUUAAGCUCGGAGCUCAACUCCGAUACGCACUGGGAACUGCGAGGCUUGAGUGCAGAAGAGGAAGGUGGAAUUCCACGUGUAGCGGUGAAAUGCGUAGAGAUGUGGAGGGACACCGGUGGCGAAGGCGGCAUCCUGGACCGGUAUCGACGCUGAGGCGCGAAAGCUAGGGGAGCAAACGGG